GCUCUUCUAGUAUAACCAUUACAAUCGACUUCCAAUCCUUUAAUUCUGGUUUAAGCCCAGAGAAGAGCA
rnacentral:tRNA from 1 species